rnacentral:rRNA from 1 species
GACGGAGGGUGCAAGCGUUGCUCGGAAUCAUUGGGCGUAAAGGGUGCGUAGGCGGUCCUCUAAGUCUGACGUGAAAGUCCAGGGCUCACCCGUGGAAGUGCGCCAGAAACUGGGGGACUAGAGUGCCGGAGGGGAGAGUGGAAUUCCUGGUGUAGCGGUGAAAUGCGUAGAUAUCAGGAGGAAUACCGGUGGCGAAAGCGACUCUCUGGACGGCAACUGACGCUGAGGCACGAAAGCGUGGGGAGCAAACAGG